GGUUCAAUAUGUUUUGCACAUAUU
rnacentral:siRNA from 1 species